rnacentral:rRNA from 1 species
UUCCUACGGGAGGCAGCAGUGGGGGAUAUUGCACAAUGGGGGAAACCCUGAUGCAGCGACGCCGCGUGGGUGAAGAAGCGCCUCGGCGCGUAAAGCCCUGUCAGCAGGGAAGAAGAUGACGGUACCUGACCAAGAAGCCCCGGCUAACUACGUGCCAGCAGCCGCGGUAAUACGUAGGGGGCAAGCGUUAUCCGGAUUUACUGGGUGUAAAGGGGGCGCAGACGGCAAUGCAAGCCAGGAGUGAAAGCCCGGGGCCCAACCCCGGGACUGCUCUUGGAACUGCAUGGCUGGAGUACAGGAGGGGG